CAGAAGAAAACAGGCAUUAGGGUAGGGUAUCUGAAUGUAAUAUUUAUCUGUGGAUAACAAGUUGCAUGAUUAUGUUCUACGUCAUAUCGUCGGUCAUGACGUAGUCUAUAUGACAUCAAUCCUAUUGUGCAAAACUGCUGAAGCGGAUCUUGCGACACCGUCACGUGAGAAUAUAUAGGUCCGUUAUACACACCCUCCAUUGCGUGCUGUCCGACGUCGAGCCGGGAAAACAUUGCGACCAACUUGACCAAGAACCACUACAAGGAUCAUCAUAAACGUUUUCUGUCGUCACAUUCGUUGCUGAAAUGGUGUCGUUCGCACCUGCGUGUCAAUAGGAAUUGUUUUGUCAUAUUGUCAAAGUCAACGAAAAUCUCACAGCCCUGGAUUCCUUGCUCCCAUGAAUAAAGCAGAGUAAAUCUAUACACUUCGACAGACAAUGUAACAAAACCAUGCCAGCCUUACAGCCGUCAUUUGCUCAAACAAAGCGUCGGUGGAAAUAAAUUAAUGUUUUACCAGA